GUUCUUGUAGUUGAGUAACAACGGUGGUUUUUCAAGCCAUUGGUCCUGGUUAAAGUCCGGGUAAGAACU
rnacentral:tRNA from 1 species